rnacentral:rRNA from 1 species
GAUGAACGCUGGCGGCGUGCCUAAUACAUGCAAGUCGAGCGAACGGACGAGAAGCUUGCUUCUCUGAUGUUAGCGGCGGACGGGUGAGUAACACGUGGAUAACCUACCUAUAAGACUGGGAUAACUUCGGGAAACCGUAGCUAAUCCCGGAUAAUAUUUUGAACCGCAUGGUUCAAAAGUGAAAGACGGUCUUGCUGUCACUUAUAGAUGGAUCCGCGCUGCAUUAGCUAGUUGGUAAGGUAACGGCUUACCAAGGCAACGAGGCAUAGCCGACCUGAGAGGGUGAUCGGCCACACUGGAACGGGGACACGGACCAGACUCCUACGGGAGGCAGCAGUAGGGAAUCUUCCGCAAUGGGCGAAAGCCUGACGGAGCAACGCCGCGUGAGUGAUGAAGGUCUUCGGAUCGUAAAACUCUGUUAUUAGGGAAGAACAUAUGUGUAAGUAACUGUGCACAUCUUGACGGUACCUAAUCAGAAAGCCACGGCUAACUACGUG